UACGUAGGGUGCGAGCGUUAAUCGGAAUUACUGGGCGUAAAGCGUGCGCAGGCGGUUCGCUAAGACCGAUGUGAAAUCCCCGGGCUUAACCUGGGAACUGCAUUGGUGACUGGCGGGCUAGAGUAUGGCAGAGGGGGGGUAGAAUUCCACGUGUAGCAGUGAAAUGCGUAGAGAUGUGGAGGAAUACCGAUGGCGAAGGCAGCCCCCUGGGCCAAUACUGACGCUCAUGCACGAAAGCGUGGGGAGCGAACAGG
rnacentral:rRNA from 1 species